rnacentral:lncRNA from 1 species
GCGCCUGGCGUAUGACCCUGGAUUUCAAUUCGACCAAUCAUAUUGAUCUUCACUCACUGCAACUGGAUUUACUUGUAUCACUUAACUCCGAUGGCGGAAACCGACCGGUAGGAGUAUGUCGUUACACUACCAUUGCAGCAAGGGCCCGAAAACAGGACAUAGAUCAAACGGAAAACUCGCAUAUCUCCAUAUGCACACAUCCCGAAUCCAAAACUAAGCAGCUACGACUCUGAUACCACUAUUGGGAUACGAGGUAGGAUACACUAGCGCAAAUCAAAAUUUCUACCGCGUAAAACCAGGAAGAACUGUCGUAUAAGGAUCACGGGAUUACCACUCGACGCACU